GUCCUUUUGAUUUUUAUAUAAGGUCUGACCUGCCCUAUGAAUAUUUAAAUGGCCGCGGUAUACUAACCGUGCAAAGGUAGCAUAGUCAUUUGUCUCUUAAUUGGAGGCUUGAAUGAAGGGUUGGACGAGAUAUAAGCUUUCUUUGUUAUAUUUUAUUGAAUUUGACUUUUGAGUUAAAAGGCUUAAAUUUUUUUAUAGGACGAGAAGACCCUAUAGAAUUUUAUAUAUUUGUAUAAUUGAUUUAUUUAUUUAUUAUUUAAUUUUUUGUUUAAAUAUAUUUUGUUGGGGCGAUGGGAAGAUUUUAAUAACUCUUUUUUGUUCUAAUCAUUGAUUUAUGUUUUGUUCUGAUCCUUUUUUAGAGAUUAUAAGAUUAAAUUACCUUAGGGAUAACAGCGUAAUUCUUUUGGAGAGUUCUUAUCGAUAAAAGAGUUUGCGA
rnacentral:rRNA from 1 species